GUGCGUCAUCUGUUCUGUGCCUGCGCUCUUCCUGUUAUUGGCAUUCAAUGGAGGUCUGUGUAUAAUACAUAGCCGUGCGGAUCUUUUAGCACCGCUUGUGUCGCUUGUGGGGCUUUGUGUACACUAAGGAGCUUAUUGCAAAGCAGCCGUUACGUUCGCCUAGUCCCAGCCUUCCCAUGUGUCUACCACUGGUGUUGGCGCAGCGUUUAGCGGCGUAGUCCAAUACAUACUGCCUGGCAUUAUCCCUUUGAUCUCUCGCGGAUAUUGACGUCAGCUCUGCUAGUUGGUGUGGUGAACUGCUGUGUUACCCGGUAUGUGUAUUAUAUUUGAUUUGUCAUUUAUAUACUUUAAAUGGAUGUAUUAAUCAUGCGUGUUAUCUGUUAGGGUUAAGACUGUGCGUGCUGCAUUCCUUACUACUACCACAUCCUGAAGCACGCUGCUGUUUUGUUCCUGCUGGAAUUUGUUUUCUUUUCUUUCUUUUCUAUAUAUUUCUGAUUGUUGUUUAUUAUUUGAUUUGUUCUGAAUGAUCUGGCGCGUCUGUUAAAGCCUGCUCCUGUUGUGGCUGUAUCUAAAAACAUUCUUCCCGCACGUCUUGUGGGGACAUAAUCACGCGCCUAAAGGACGUGUUCAUUCAGAUUUGUUUCGUUUAUUAUUUUUC